rnacentral:misc_RNA from 1 species
AGGACACAACAAUGACACGACUAUCUGAGAUGGAGAAUGCUUUGAGAAAGGCCAGUGGUCAGGUGGACCGUGCAAAUGCGGCAGUGCGACGACUUGAGACAGAAAAUGCAGAAAUUAGGGCAGAGAUGGAAGCUUUAAAGUUAAGUGCUUCCGAGUCUGUCACAACUUGUUUGGAGGUUGCAAAGAGGGAGAAAAAAAGUCUAAAGAGAUUACUGGCCUGGGAAAAGCAGAAAACAAAGUUACAGGAGCAGAUUGCAGAGGAGAAG